UACGGAGGGUGCAAGCGUUGUCCGGAUUUAUUGGGUUUAAAGGGUGCGUAGGCGGCCCCUUAAGUCAGUGGUGAAAGCCCGCGGCUCAACCGCGGAACUGCCAUUGAUACUGGGGGGCUUGAGUACAGACGAGGUAGGCGGAAUUGAAGAUGUAGCGGUGAAAUGCUUAGAUAUCUUCAAGAACACCGAUUGCGUAGGCAGCUUACUAGGCUGUAACUGACGCUGAGGCACGAAAGCGUGGGGAGCGAACAGG
rnacentral:rRNA from 3 species